UGGGGAAUAUUGGACAAUGGGCGAAAGCCUGAUCCAGCCAUGCCGCGUGAGUGAUGAAGGCCUUAGGGUUGUAAAGCUCUUUCGCAGGUGAAGAUAAUGACGGUAACCUGAGAAGAAGCCCCGGCUAACUUCGUGCCAGCAGCCGCGGUAAUACGAAGGGGGCUAGCGUUGUUCGGAAUUACUGGGCGUAAAGCGCACGUAGGCGGACUAUUAAGUCAGGGGUGAAAUCCCCGGGCUCAACCCCGGAACUGCCUUUGAUACUGGUAGUCUCGAGUCAGGAAGAGGUGAGUGGAAUUCCGAGUGUAGAGGUGAAAUUCGUAGAUAUUCGGAGGAACACCAGUGGCGAAGGCGGCUCACUGGUCCGGUACUGACGCUGAGGUGCGAAAGCGUGGGGAGCAAACA
rnacentral:rRNA from 1 species